GGCAAAGCUCAGAUUUGAAAGCCGCAAGGCAUUGUAUUCUGAAGCCGUUGUCCUGGGAAACCGGUGUUUAAGUCUCCUGGAAAGGAGCGCCAUAGAGGGUGAUAGCCCCGUAUGACACUGACCCCAUUGUAGGACUUCGGCGUGGAGUCGAGUUGUUUGGGAAUGCAGCUCAAAAGGGUGGUAUGCUCCAUCUAAAGCUAAAUAUCUGCGAGAGACCGAUAGCGAACAAGUACUGUGAAGGAAAGAUGAAAAGAACUUUGAAAAGAGAGUGAAAAAGUACGUGAAAUUGUUGAAAUGGAAGGGUAGGCCGCUAACCACGCAGAGUCGUGUCUGGGGGGAGGAU
rnacentral:rRNA from 1 species